CUGUUACGCCAAAAUCAAAUGUAGUAACUUCCAGAAAAUCGUCGGUGCGCUAUUUACUCUCUCAUUCUGUCUUGUCUAAAGUGAUUCUUUCUAUUCCUUGUUGCCAACUAAAUUCAAACCCCUACUCCUCCCUUUUCCAUUUCCUAAUUUACCCUCAAACUUUUCCGGGCCUCAAUUUGCAAGCUUAAUCAAUUGCUGAAUUUGGAAAAUCUACUGAAACUCGUCGAAAAAGGUACUUUUCUUCCAGUGCCCAUUUCACAAAUUUCUGUUCUUUACCACCUCUAAUUGCCCAAUUUGAUCUCUGGGUCAAUAUUCAAUAAUUUCAUCUUUAUCCAAAAACCCUAGAUUGUGAUUUAUUUAGUGGGAUUUCAUUGCUUUUUAUGAACUGGGAUUGCCUCAAAUUUUCUUGAAAAGAAAAGGGUUCAUAAUUCAUUAGAUGGGAAAGCCACUAUUCUAUGAGAUAUUGGAAAAACCUGCAACUAGUUGUAUUAUAGCACUUUGUAGUGCAAUUUGGUUUUAUAUUCAAAAGAAAAACAUUGGGUAUUCACAUGUAGGAUUAAGCUAUGAAACUGCUCUUGAAGGGCAUCAUUGGAGGAUUAUAACAUCAGCAUUUUCACACAUUAGUGUCAUUCAUCUUGUCUUUAAUAUGAGUGCACUUUGGAGUCUUGGUGUUGUGGAACAAUUAGGGGAUAUUGGUCUUGGAUUUCAGUUUUAUCUUCAUUAUAGUCUUGUGUUGGUUGUUUUAUCUGGUGUUUUGGUAUUAGGGGCGUAUCAUGUUUUGAUUCAUAGGCUUAAGUUGGAUCAUUUUCGACGAGUAACGGCUGUUGGGUAUUCCUGUGUUGUUUUUGGGUGGAUGACUAUUUUGUCUGUGAAGCAGCCGUCUUCGAAGUUGAGCUUGUUUGGAUUUCUUUCACUUCCUAUUAGUUUUGCGCCAUUUGAAUCACUGAUCUUUACGUCGAUUAUUGUCCCGCAAGCGAGUUUUCUUGGGCAUUUGUCUGGAAUUAUUGUUGGUUAUGCUAUUGGAUGGGGUUUGAUUCAUGGGAUGAACAAUUACUGGGCCUUUACAAUGUUGGGAUGGAUUGCUGUUGUAUUUGUUGUGAGUUUGAAGCGUUCUGGUGCUUAUGAUUUUGACUUUCUUGAGAUUGAACCUGUUACUGAUCCUUCUCUGCCCACGGUUCGCUUUCUUGCCCCUGGUAAUGGCAGAACGUUGCAGAUGAGUUCAGUACCAACAGGAGGUGUUGAAUUGGUAUAAAGAUUUAUGGACUUACAAUGUAUAUGUAUAUGAUUGGAAACAAGAUGAUAGUAUACUUGGCUGACACUAUAUGAACAAGGGUUUCUGUGAUCCGUAUGAUAUCUGGGAGCCAUGACUUGUUCAACAUCUACUAACAAUUUAGGAAGAUGAGUGCAAUUCUGACCUGCACGGCUACUACUACUAUCUCUCUUGCUGGGUUGGAACUGCUUUCACUUUCCAGCUGUUUAGACUGCAGUAGUACAACAGUGUAUCAUUCUUGGAUGUGGUGGUGACUUCAACUCUGGAGUAUUCAUUUAUGAAUGCAAAUUGCUCCAUGUACUGGUUGCAUCAGUACUUGCGGUUACGUGGAUCCUUUCUGCAGAUCUCAGCUUCUUCUGUUUUGAGUUCGUUUGGUGUUAUGGUCAUUAUGAACAAAACGAUGACACUAGGCUGGGUCAGCCAGACCCGAAACUGAGUCCUAGCAUGGCAAAGCUCGCAGGCCUUUUGUGUCUGGUUGUGUCAUGCCUUAGUGCCUAGGUUUAUAAAUUGUGAUAUUGAUGUGCCUUUUCGAAUCCAAAAAUGCGGCCUAGCCUGCCACAAUAUUGUACCAUGCCAUUCCUAUCUUGUGCCGCGUCUUUCUCCCAUGUGGGUUGUGCCUCGUGCCGCGGUAGGCCAAUGACAUCCUUAAAUUGAACUGCUUGGUUGUUUACCGUGAGUCCGUAACAUAUCAAAACGUAAUA